rnacentral:misc_RNA from 1 species
GGGGAAUUGGAGGUGGACCUGAGACUUCUUCUGGAUGGAAUCCGGCUGGAGGGAAUUGUAUGGUACCAUACGGAGGGUUUUCCAGUUUUCUUAGGGAAGAUGAGAAUAAAUUAAUGAGAAAUGGGAACGGGAAUAAUGGUGGGAACUUGAUGAACAAGGGAAAAGUGAAGGCAGAAUCAGUUAUCGAAGCUGCAAAUCUUGCAGCCAGUGGACAGCCAUUUGAGGUGAUCUAUUAUCCUCGUGCUAGCACUCCGGAGUUCUGUGUGAAGUCCUCGCUUGUAAAGUCAGCAUUGCAGAUCCGUUGGUGCUCGGGGAUGAGGUUCAAG